rnacentral:rRNA from 1 species
GAUGAACGCUGGCGGCGUGCCUAAUACAUGCAAGUCGAGCGAACAGACGAGGAGCUUGCUCCUCUGACGUUAGCGGCGGACGGGUGAGUAACAUGUGGAUAACCUACCUAUAAGACUGGGAUAACUUCGGGAAACCGGAGCUAAUACCGGAUAAUAUAUUGAACCGCAUGGUUCAAUAGUGAAAGACGGUUUUGCUGUCACUUAUAGAUGGAUCCGCGCCGCAUUAGCUAGUUGGUAAGGUAACGGCUUACCAAGGCAACGAUGCGUAGCCGACCUGAGAGGGUGAUCGGCCACCCUGGAACUGAGACACGGUCCAGACUCCUACGGGAGGCAGCAGUAGGGAAUCUUCCGCAAUGGGCGAAAGCCUGACGGAGCAACGCCGCGUGAGUGAUGAAGGUCUUCGGAUCGUAAAACUCUGUUAUUAGGGAAGAACAAAUGUGUAAGUAACUAUGCACGUCUUGACGGUACCUGAUCAGAAAGCCACGGCUAACUACGUG